ensembl:lncRNA
CUGAAAGUUACAGUAAUGGAGUCUCACAGUAGAAAUUUUCAGUAUCCUGCAGUCCUGCAGACUGGAAGGGUGGAGCAAAACAAACAAUCUGUCAAAAAUAGCCACUGGACAGAACGGAAAUCUGCAGAAACUUACGUUGUUCUUUUUGUUUUUAUUUUAGGUCUGGUAUCCCUAAUUCAAUGUACCAUCACUGAAUUCAACCACCACCACCAAAAAAAAAAUUCUAAACCCGAAAGGUGCAGAGCAAUUCUCUGUGGGGCAGAUGAACCUCGCUGAAAAUAGCUUUUUGACACUCAGAAGGACUCCAGAUCUGACCCAAAUGAAGGACACGGAUCCAUCAUGGCUCCUGCCUGCUUAGUCAACACCCUCACGAAGAAACAGACGCCUGGAACCACAGGAGAGGCUCUCGCGGCUCCGUUUCCAUAUUCAUAACCCCACAGAAUUUGACUAGAGUCGCUGGGAGGAUUUCCAUGUGCCCUGCAGUCGAGGGACGCCUUCACAGCCCCGUCAUUACCAUGCUGUGCUUUUUCAUUAACAAUCCCUGGCCCCCAGGAACGUACAUGAGGCUCAUAUUUGAGAGAGCUGCAGUGGGUAUUGUUCCACUCCUGUCCUCCCAUCUUAAUAAAAACGUCGCCUAUGUCCUGUAGUCUAUACAGGCGAAGGUGGGCCUUAUAGCAAAAUCUGCACUGACACCAAGCAGGAGGAUCCUGAUCUGGAUUAAAGCUGAAAUAAACUCUUCCUGUUAACAUACCACUUUUGGCAGCCCUGAGAAAACAGCUGAGGGAUGUGUUCUCUACAGCCGUCUGGUCUGGUCUUCACACCUUCGUGCCUUUUGUUUUCUUCAUCCCACUCAGUAAAACUGGAAGACUUUCAUAUUGAAAACUAUUUCAAAGAGACCCCAAUCAUGAGGAUAUAAUCAAGGUAUAAAAAAGUUAUACCCGAUAAAGGAAUUUAAUAUCUUAUUUGAGGGAUGCUGAGAAUGACAAACAAUGUGAGAACACCGGCCUGAACUGUAUAUUUACUGCUUGACAUCAAGUUCCUUCAGACAAACAAAUCAGCAGGCGAGCAGGCGAGGCUUCAGACCUGUCAUCAUAUUCCUCACUCAUUUCUAAGGC